UUUUCAUGCUGUACAUAAAAUCAUUUUUGACUUGCACACAGGGAUGCUGCUACUUUAUAUAACUUCUACCCUGUACCCUACAGGUAGCAAUAAAGCUGGGUAACUUGCUGCAACAAGCAGAGAGAGGAUAUAGUAGAAAAGAAGAGUGCUGGGGAGGUUCAGCUGUGCCCAUCAGUAGCAUUUUGUAUUUCCUGAGCACGAGACUGGUACCAGAUCUACGGCCUGCCCAAAGACCAGGCUGCUGAGGGAAGGAAGUGGCAUGCUGGGGAGUUCAGAGGUGUUGAAGACAACCCUGACCGUUCCUAAGCACCUCGUGGGAGGACGAGGAGGAGUGGGAAGCAGAGCUGAGCAUCGCUGCCCUGCAGCCCCGGCUGCCAGCGUUACCCCUGCCUGCCCUCCAGCUGCACGGCGCAAAGCCCAUGCAGAACUGCCAUGGCAGGCAACGCAAAACCCCAAGACAAUGGUUUUCAGUACAUGAGCUGAAGCUUCUGGCUGCUGCAGAAGAGUUUUCCUCUAUGUCUCUCAUGAAACUUCCAUAAAGGUAUGAAAGCCGUAUUUUCUGUCUUUGUAGUCAAUUUACAUCCUGUAUCCAAAAACUAAUGACAAUCAGAUGCAGCUGAUGAAAUAAUCUGUUCUUGCUGCAGAGCUCAUUCAAUCAGCUGAGAGCUCUGGUUCUCACAUAGAUAAUGAGUGUUGUGACAAGUGUAACUCUGCCUCAGUUUGGUGGCAAUGUUAGAAACUGUGACAAAAAUUAAAUUAUUUGUCUGCUUUAACCGUGGCCCUUCUCAGAUUGCUAAUGAGAGAGAUCCUUGUUAAACAUAUGUUCUUUUUGAUAGGCUCCUUUUCAGGUCCUCAGCUGGGAAAAUGAUGUAUUGUUGGUAUCAUAAAGGGCAUGAAAGAGAGGGCUUUCCCUUAUUUUCUGUGCCUCUUUUCUUUUUAUGUCUCGAGCUGAUGUAACAGGUCAUUGCUUGUGUGCCAGCAUAAAAGGGAAAGAUCCCCUAAAACGAAAUCUCUGGGGAGAGCGGUGCUGCUGAACACCUUCCCUGCUAUGUGGCCCCACAGCAUCGCCCGGCUCUCGGUGUUCCUGCUGAAUGAGUGGGCACGGGGAGCACACGGAGGUGCUCUGGUCUCGGGGGAGCAUUCACUGCGCUUUCCUUGGGGAUGGCAAAAAUGAAUCUGAGCUUCUACCAAGGGCUGCAGAGCAGCUGGAGCAAUAAGUCCCUGUGCAUGCUUUGAAGUGCCUGUCACACCGUGCAGACCUUGGCCCCGCUCCGCUGUAACUCUGUGAACCCAGCAGGGAGAUUGGCGAGGUCCCUGAGGGGGGAGGAUGCUGUGGUAAGUGCUUGGGAAGAGUGGGGCGUCGCUCCGCAGCACAGCUGCCUUCACCUUCCUUCAAAGGGAGCGUUAAGACGGAGCCCUAUCUGUGGUUUUGUAAUGGUUUGGUCACUGGUUCUUGGUCAAACCUUUGACUGAGGGAUUGCA
rnacentral:lncRNA from 1 species